GUUUUAAUUAGUUAACAUUAAAAAGUCCCUAGAAUAGUAGCAUUUGAACAUGCCCAGGUGUAUUUGAAGAUGAGCAUUAAUACAUAGCUCCCAAGUUGAGAGCACCCAAGGCAUGUAUUUACUAAUCCAAUAAUAUGCAAUUUGUUGUGUCUUAAUACUAUAUUCAAUUAUGAAAUUUCCAAUCAGUUUAUUAGCACAGGAUUUAUGUGUAUAGCACAUUAAACUAUUGACAAAUUCCAUGAGAAUCCUCCUAUCAGCACUUUAUCUGAUGUCAGGAAAAAACCGUGCCUGCAAUAAGUAGUUUGUAGAAGUCACUAAAAGGUCAGAGAUUUCAAGCUGUGAGACACGUUCAAGUUACAAUCCACCGACGAAAGAGCUCUGGAAGGCUUGAAAAAGACUCAGCUGUAUGCACAAGGGGGAUUCAUCACCGAGGCUGUUGGAAGACACACAUCAUGCAUCUCACUGGCUCUCCACCUUGCAGAAUGAGGGACACAAUUUGGGCUGCAUAGUGUCACACCAGGUCUGGCCAUUUCCUGGCCCAGAUUAAGCAGCCAUGGAAUGGACUGUGGAGUACACUCUAUUACCAAACUCAGACACUGGAAAAAUCUGAAUAAUUCCACUAAUUAUUACAAGCCAAAUGCUGGAGUGAACUGGUUCAACUACACUGAAUCUGAUUUAUGCCAGCUGAGAUUCCCAGUCCUACCAGUUUAGA